AGAGUUUGAUCCUGGCUCAGGACGAACGCUGGCGGCGUGCCUAAUACAUGCAAGUCGAACGAGAUCCCGGAGCUUGCUCCGGGGGACAGUGGCGAACGGGUGAGUAACACGUGAGAAACCUGCCCUAGAGACCGGGACAACCGUUGGAAACGGCGGCUAAUACCGGAUGCCUUCACAUGGUCGCAUGGCCGAGUGAAGAAAUGCUCAGGUGCUCUAGGAGGGUCUCGCGGCCUAUCAGCUAGUUGGUGAGGUAACGGCUCACCAAGGCAUCGACGGGUAGCUGGUCUGAGAGGACGAUCAGCCACACUGGGACUGAGACACGGCCCAGACUCCUACGGGAGGCAGCAGUAGGGAAUCUUGCGCAAUGGGGGCAACCCUGACGCAGCAACGCCGCGUGUGGGAUGACGGCUUUCGGGUUGUAAACCACUUUCAGUGAUGACGAAAAUGACGGUAAUCACAGAAGAAGGUCCGGCCAACUACGUGCCAGCAGCCGCGGUAACACGUAGGGACCGAGCGUUGUCCGGAUUUAUUGGGCGUAAAGAGCUCGUAGGCGGUUCUGUAAGUCGGAUGUGAAAACUCAGGGCUCAACCCUGAGACGCCAUCUGAUACUGCAGUGACUAGAGUCCGGUAGAGGAAGAUGGAAUUCCUGGUGUAGCGGUGGAAUGCGCAGAUAUCAGGAGGAACACCAAUGGCGAAGGCAGUCUUCUGGGCCGGUACUGACGCUGAGGAGCGAAAGCAUGGGGAGCAAACAGGAUUAGAUACCCUGGUAGUCCAUGCCGUAAACGUUGGGCACUAGGUGUGGGGUCUUCUAACGGAUUCCGUGCCGUAGCUAACGCAUUAAGUGCCC
rnacentral:rRNA from 1 species